rnacentral:rRNA from 1 species
GACGAACGCUGGCGGCAGGCUUAACACAUGCAAGUCGAACGCCCGUAGCAAUACGGGAGUGGCGGACGGGUGAGUAACGCGUGGGAACGUGCCCUGAGGUACGGAAUAACUGCGGGAAACUGCAGCUAAUACCGUAUGAGCCCCGCAAGGGGGAAAGAUUUAUCGCCUUAGGAGCGGCCCGCGGCGGAUUAGCUAGUUGGUGGGGUAACGGCUUACCAAGGCUUCGAUCCGUAGCUGGUCUGAGAGGACGAUCAGCCAAACUGGGACUGAGACACGGCCCAGACUCCUACGGGAGGCAGCAGUGGGGAAUCUUGCGCAAUGGGGGCAACCCUGACGCAGCCAUGCCGCGUGAAUGAUGAAGGCCUUAGGGUUGUAAAGUUCUUUUGCCCGUGACGAUGAUGACGGUAACGGGAGAAUAAGCUCCGGCUAACUUCGUGCCAGCAGCCGCAGUAACAC